UACGAAGGGGGCUAGCGUUGCUCGGAAUUACUGGGCGUAAAGAGCGCGCAGGCGGUCGUUCAAGUCGCGUGUGAAAGCCCCCGGCUCAACUGGGGAGGGUCACGCGAUACUGAUCGACUCGAAGGCAGGAGAGGGUAGUGGAAUUCCCGGUGUAGUGGUGAAAUGCGUAGAUAUCGGGAGGAACACCAGUGGCGAAGGCGGCUCACUGGCCCAUAACUGACGCUGAGGCACGAAAGCGUGGGGAGCAAACAGG
rnacentral:rRNA from 1 species